rnacentral:rRNA from 1 species
GGAUUAGAUACCCGGGUAGUCCUGGCAGUAAACGGUGCACGCUUGGUGUGAGGGGAAUCGACCCCCCUCGUGCCGGAGCUAACGCGUUAAGCGUGCCGCCUGGGAAGUACGGUCGCAAGACUAAAACUCAAAGAAAUUGACGGGGACCCGCACAAGCGGUGGAGUAUGUGGCUUAAUUCGAUGCAACGCGAAGAACCUUACCUAGGCUUGACAUGCAUCUCUAAGCGCGUGAAAGCGCGUGACCCUUCGGGGGAUUUGUACAGGUGCUGCAUGGCCGUCGUCAGCUCGUGUCGUGAGAUGUUGGGUUAAGUCCCGCAACGAGCGCAACCCUUGUGUCCAGUUGCCAGCAUUUAAGGUGGGAACUCUGGACAGACUGCCCAGAUCAACUGGGAGG